AACCACAGGCACCACAUGUUUGAACUGUUUCAACGGGAGUCAUGGCAAAACGAACGGAGUAGCACUGCGUGGCCUCGCAAUCCCAGCGACCCGACGAGCUCGCAAAGCGUGCUCGGAAGACGACCCUCCCAAAGCCGACGACGCGCACUCACCUCUGUGGACAGCGAAGAAACAUCGUCGCACUGUGACAACGGCGACUAGUGCACGGCAUUUAUUUUUUGUUGGCGUUCGUUUCAUAAAACCCGUCUAUAAGGAGCUUGUGACCACCCUGAAAGGCUUGACGAGCUACGUGCUCGUAUUCAUGUUGGUGCCACGAGGUGGGCCUUUCGGGCAUGCCAGGGAGGAUGAGAGGCUGUCCCUGAACCGCCUACUAGUACAAAAAGGUGUUGCCCUCGGCGUUACCAUCGUGAAUGUCGACUGACCACGUCGCUCCAUCUCCCAACAGAAGCACCAAACAUUGCUUUCGGCCAUCUGCGUCCUGACACAGGUUGCUAAUGCUUUGCAAAAACAAAGCUGCACCUUUCGAUUCUACAAGGUAACACCCAUCACUAAUGUAGUUUGACAGAACCUUCAAGCUUGCCUUGUGCAGGUGCCACUCUUUCCAGAGAAUUCUACAGCUAGCUCUGCUAUUGGUAUCACGUUAUACAUACUUUGAGAUAUUGUAAAUGUCGUCUUCUGUGUUAUUGACAACCAGGUAUUAACGAUAUCAAGAAAGAUCACUCCAGCCAUGUAUAUUACUUUUUACAUAUAGUAUGCAAGCAACACAGACCAAAAGAACAAUUGCUGAACUCACUUGCAUUUGUGG